rnacentral:sRNA from 1 species
GCCCAAUUUCGCACGUGCCUGUGGUCGUGUGUCAGUCGGUGGGUAUCCGGACAAGAGGCCGGACAGCCGCCAAGGGAUGAAGAAGCCGAGGGUCGCUUAGGACCUGACCGACGAGGUCAAGCUUAAGAGGCCAGCAUCUCUCUCCAGGGAUGCCGUUGAAGGUGACUUCGCUCCUUGCAACCGUGACUGGCAGCCGGAGGCGAACCGGCGCACCCCGCUCUCAACGGGGGACGCGACUUAAAGCAACGACGGAUCGGGCUUUU